AGCUUUUUUAUGUCAGGAAAUCAAUUCCCUCCUAGCCAACUUUUUGGUGGGGCUAAUAGAAGGAAGAAUGCAAGAUGCAUUGGAUUGCUUGGAAAUAUAUGUGCAAUCUGAAAACUCAAGGCGGGAUGGUCUUUAGAGAAUUAGAGUGCUUUAAUAGAGCCCUCCUUACCAAACAAGGACGGAGACUUGUUACUAGAACAAAUUCUCGUUUUGCA
rnacentral:misc_RNA from 1 species